GCAUGUCGAACGAGGUGCUUGCACCUAGUGGCAAAUGGGUGAGUAACACGUACUUAACCUACCUUAUAGAAUGGAAUAACUAGGGGAAACUUUAGCUAAUACCGUAUAUGAUAUUUUUACGCAUGUUUAAUUAUUAAAAGGGGCGUUUGCCCCGCUAUAGAGUGGGAGUGCGCAACAUUAGUUAGUUGGUGGGGUAAUAACCUACCAAGACAAUGAUGUUUAGCGGAGUUGAGAGACUGAAC
rnacentral:rRNA from 1 species